rnacentral:rRNA from 1 species
UACGAGGGGGGGCAAGCGUUGUUCGGAAUUAUUGGGCGUAAAGGGUGCGUAGGCGGUUUGGUAAGUCUUAUGUGAAAUCUACAGGCUCAACUUGUAGUCUGCAUGAGAAACUGCCGGGCUUGAGUAUGGGAGAGGUGAGUGGAAUUCCUGGUGUAGCGGUGAAAUGCGUAGAUAUCAGGAGGAACACCUGUGGCGAAAGCGGCUCACUGGACCAUAACUGACGCUGAUGCACGAAAAGCUAGGGGGAGCAAACAGG